ensembl:lncRNA
CUUGACUAGAAUACAGUAUACACAUAUAAAGUGGGUAAAACAGUAUGUAAACAUUAUUGAAGUGACCAGUGUUCCAUGUCUAUGUACAUUGGGCAGCAGACUCUAAGGUUCAGGGUAGAGUACCGGGUGGUAGUCGGCUAGUAACAGUGACUAAGGUUCAGGGUAGAGUACCCGGGGGUAGUCGGCUAGUAACAGGGACUAAGGUUCAGGGUAGAGUACCGGGUGGUAGCCGACUAGUGACAGUGACUAAGGUUCUGGGUAGAGUACCGGGUGGUAGCCGGCUAGUAACAGUGACUAAGGUUCAGGGUAGAGUACCGGGUGGUAGCUGGCUAGUGACAGUGACUAAGGUUCAGGGUAGAGUACCCGGUGGUAGCCGGCUAGUGACAUAACAACUUGAUUGUGAAAUGUCCUAUCAUGAGGAAAUGACUAGGUGAUACUUAGCCCCUGAACAAGGCAUUUAACACACUGUUCCUAG